CUCCACUCUCCCCAACCAAUGUCCCUUAAAUGCCUCCCAUUACGAGAGGUGCAAUGUAAAAUUUCAGCAGGUACAAAUAAGGUACCAUCUCCCUCUAAUUUAGUUUCAGAAAAUGCUAAACUAAUAAUAUGCUAAACUAGCAAUCACCGUCACCCUCAUAGACAGCCUUGAAGAAUCAUGUAUAAGCCCUUAUAGCAUAUACUGAUAUCAAACCGGUACCGUUCGGUAUUAGCAAAUCUUGCCUGAAAUAGUUGUCGAUCAGUCCAGCAUGUUCUAACAACAAGCAUCAUCCUUUCUGGGCCAGUGUAUCAGUUAAAACUCCAGGCAAUUCCAUGCCCAAGCUCAAUUACCAUUUUGAAGACGAUGAAGAACCACUGCUUCAAAGAUCUAGCAAGAAAGAAGAGAACCUGUAAAGAGCUAGAUUCCGUCUCCGAAAAACUUAAGACCAUCGGCGAGCAUUUGGCGUGUUUCGGCUUCUUUUGGGCUCUCUCCGGCUUUUCCACGAGCAGGUCGUAGGGAUGAUGGCAGGUGGGGUGGAAGGCAAAGGGGAAGCUGUUGGGAAUGAUAGUGGAUCAAAGCCCGUCUCAGGCGAAGUGGGGAGGGCCUGGGCAAGGGUGGCUGGGGGCCAAGCGCGGCAACCUAUGCCACAAAAUCUCCGAGUCGGAGGUCGAACAACUCCAGCGAUACUUCACCAAAAUCUUGGAGUUCCCGGAGGAGGAAAUGGAGGAGGAGAGGGGCAAGUGAGAGAGGGUCUCCGUCUUGGUACGAAGCUUGGGCCGGCGGGUUCCUGUGGACUGGAUUGCAAGGGAUUUCAAGGUGAAGGGCAAGCUCCCAAACGAGGUUGAAUCCUUCUCUCUGGCGGAAGACCACCUCCUAUUCCGCUCCAAAUCGGAGGAGGAGACCAACUCUGUUCUCCAUGGAGGGCCAUGGAACCUUGGGUGCCGGAUUUUGUCCCCGGCACCAACAUUGUCAAGAUGGCCAUGGUACGGUUACGCCUCCCCGGCCUCCCGAUGGAGUUUUGGACCACUCGGCGACUUUUGGGCAUCGUGAAGGAAGCGGGCAACCCGGUCUCCAUCGACGACUUCACGGACCAGUUGAAGAACACGGGUUUUGCGAGGAUCCGGGUCAUGAAAAUAUCUUGCCCAUCUUAUAAAGUUCCAGAAUAAACAAUCUCUCCUGAAAGUAAAGUAAACAGCAGAAGAUCAUAAUAACACUGGGGUCUUCUUGUCAUAGAAGGUGCUUCUAGCAGUUAACGCAGCUGGCGUAGAAAUUGCAACUCCUUUAGAUGUCUCCAUCUUAUUACUUUUUCA
rnacentral:lncRNA from 1 species